UCUCUUUCUUUUCCUUUUAUUUUUGUUCUAAUUAAGUUUUCCAUGGCUGUUUUGUUUGCCUUAUUUCAGUUUGUUGGAAUGUUGUUAUGCCUAAAUUAAUUAAGGUUUAAUUUUUCCCCCUCUACGAGCUUUAUUAAAUCAUGAAGCAUGAUCUGCAAAGUAGCUAAAUACAACUCUUUUAUCUUAGCAUUUUUAUAGGUGUAAGUGAAUCAUUGAUUUUCAUGUGUGAUUGAGUUUGGUUUGACUUAAGUUAAGUUGGAGACUCUGCUCUUUUAUAGAACAUGAGUUAGCAUCCCCUAUUGGUCUUGUAAGAAAAGCACUCAAGAAUAGUAACUCUAGAAUGUUUCAUAAUAAGUUCGGAAUGAAACAUACAACAACAACAACAUACCAGUGUAAUCUUACAAGUGGGGUCUGAGAAGGGUAAGAUGUACGCAGACCUUACCUCUACCUUUGUGGGCCAGAGAGGUUGUUUUUAAAAGACCCUCGGCUCGAAAGGAUAGAAAAUUAAAGAAAAAGGAAUUUGACACAGACAUUAAAAAAACUCAUAAAAUGUAUAAAGGAAAAUGACAGCAAAUGAGCAUAGUUACAUUUUAUGUAACAUAGUUACUUAAAAAGUGUUGUAACUUAAGAAAAAUAGUACUCCCCCCGUCACAUUUUAUGUCAAGGUGUUACAGUUUUGAGAGUCAAGCAAUUAUUUCUUUAACGACAAUUUUCUAAAACUUUUUAAAACUAUUUUGAAUAGUAUGUUAUCUUGUAGUACUUUUCAUGUAGUUUUCGACUAUGUAAAUUUUAUUGUUAAAAGUUGAAGAAUUUGUACCAGAAUUCAUAGUCAAAAUUUAGUAUUUUGACCACCGUACUACGAACACCUCCACAUAAAUGGGCACAGAUGGAUAGUAAUUUUACUAAACGAGUUGCUAUGUAUUAUUUCAGCUAGACAAUAAAUAUAUUUGUAUUUCUCGUUAUUCUCUACUUUUGAUACCCUUUCUCAGUGAAUUGGCUACAAUGAAGGGAGAAUAGCUGUAGAGCUCGAUCAGAUUAAAAUUGGAUGUUCUAAUAUAUAAUACAUGAAAAAUGGAGCAUGUUAUUAAUUCAGGUUUUCCUUUUAAUAGUUCUCUGGUAAUUGUUGAAGUGAUCGAUAAAUCGAUAAUUAGUUAAAGAUUUGAUUGGAAACUCAUAUUUUCAGAAUCUGUAUGUAGUUAAAGCAUAUUAUUAGGGGCAGAGCUAGGAUUGAAACUACGGGUUUGAUAGAACUCAAUAACUUUGGUUCAAACCUUGUAUAUUUGUUAAGAAGUCAAUUGAAUAACAUAUAAUAAACUUCAUAGUCCAUAAACGUCAGAUGCAGAGCCAAUAAACUCAAAUACUAAAUUUGCCUCUGUUAUGUUCUAAAGCUUUCCAAAUAAAAAAAAAAGAUGUAAAAGUUUUUAUUAAACUUACCUAUAUAAGUUGAUUAGGUUGGAUUUGCAUAUUGGAUGAUAAAAGUAAAGAAAAGAGAUUACAUCAUUUGCAAGCCAUUAAAUUUUGGUCAGAAUAUUUAUCAUUGGCUUUGCUAUAAAAUCCCUAAAUCAUGAACACUUUUGUUCAUCAAUCAUUGAAUAUACUUUGCAUUCAUAGAGAGAAGAAGAGUUCAUAUAAGUAAUCAAGUAAGAUAGGAAAUGAGAAUUGUGUUUGAUACGAAGAAAAUACCAAAUGUGUGUUCACUGUUUUCUUUUCUAUUCGUAACUUUGAUUCAUGAACUUGAAUUUGAGCAAUAAAAAAAAUCUGAUUUUCAAUUUUCCCAUAUUUGGUUAGUCAAAUUAUUUUAAAAGCAUUUUGUCUAAAAAUAAUGUUCCUUAAAAAUCAGAAAAAUAACUUUCCAUGUGAGAAUAGGAAAAACAAAAUUGGUAAAGAAAAGAGAUCCUUACCAAUUAUCUGGGUGACUCAUUGAGUGACAAAACUUAUUCUUCAGUAAUUCCUAUUUUUUGUAGUGCAAGAAAAAGUCGAUGGUGCCGAAUCAUAAAUCUGUUGCAUCAUCGGUUCAUAAAUAUUGAAUAAACGAAUCACCAAGUUGUUUUUGUUAAAUAAAUUCAAUAGCUCCAUAUAACUCUUGGAAUUUAUAUAUAUAUAUAUAUAUAAUUUUGCAUAAAAUUUUCCUUCUGUACGAUCAUUCCUUGCCCUUUCUUUUGGUGAUUCUGCCACAUGGUUUCCUUAUGUGAUCACAAUAGCCAUUGUGCAAAAGUUUAGUUGUCAAAGCAUUCUUGAAAUUGAUAUUGAUAAGCAAGAAUUUAGGAUGCCUAUUGUUACAUCCCGCGUUUUCAUGCGUUGGAAAGCGUGCAAGUUAAAUGACACUGGUAAAGGAAAUGAGGUUAUCCUCCCAAGCUUAUAGAUGGUUGUAUUGAUGGUACAAAUGUGUUAUAAAUAUUAGAAGUUAAACAAAUCUAAGAAAAUAAGUUUCGUCGAGGUUCGAAAUUUAUUUAAAUGAAAUACAGUCCAAGCUAUAAUAUCCUGUAUUUUUGGACUAGGAAAUUGAACCGUCCAACAUGAGCAAAUUUUACCGACUGUAAGAUUUGGUCAUAGUCAAACAUGAAAAUAAAAGAAUUCGGUGUAUACGAGAAAUGAAGUCCCGAAAUGAUUUAAGAUGGAAAAGUGUGUCGACGAUGACUGGAAAUAAUAUUUUAUGUGUGGCAAAUGAGGCUAUGGACUAGGACCAUAUCACAUGACCAUAAUAAUGAAGUGAGUUAGAGGUGGGUAAUAUUUAAGUGAAUUGAGAUCAAACAUUAUUUAUAUCGGUAAUUAGUCAAUGUUAUGAGAUAGUGGAAAUUAAAAACAUUUAGGUAAUGUUUAGGGGACAAUAUGUCCACGUGGGUCCCAUGUGGGGAAAGAUCAUCUUUAUGUGUAAUUAUAAGUAUAGAUAAAUGUGGCUUUUUGGGCUGUCAACGUGGAGUGACCUUGUUAAAUUAUAGUGACUAAUUAAUCAAAUGAGUAGCUAAUGAAGUGGUAGCAGUCCACGUGUUUCUUUAGUGGAUUCAAGCAGACCAAAUACGUCCAGCUUGUUCAUUUCUCACUUGGAGUUCAUUUAGUAACUUUUGGGAUUCAUUUUGGAAGCAAAAAAAAAAGUAAGCAACAUUUUUCUUUGAAGAUUCAUUAUGAAGAGGCAAACAAACGUUCAGCAACCAUUUGAUUUAACCAUGGGGAACAAUUCAUUUGAUGGAAGCAAAGGCAGCAACCUCACGUCCCAUUUCAGUUAAGUUAUGGUAGUCUCUUGGUUGUAGUAAGCUCAUGAUAGAACGGACUGGGUACAGUUGUUCAAGACUAAGGUGGAAGAAGAUUAAAUCUUGGCACAUAAGAUUGGUGAAGCCCGAGACCUAAGUUAUGGUUAACUUAAGAAGCGGACAAGGUAUGUGAAGCUAUCCCUUCCUUCUUUUUGGCAUAGUCUUUGUGAAACAAACAGACAACGAGCAUAUAACUCCAAAGAAGCUCCUAUUCUUAGAGACACUAGGAUGGCUAAUGUUCUUGAUUCCCAGAACUUAUUUUAUUAUGUAUUGAUACGUGUCUAUGAUUCCAGCCGUCCUAUUUUGAUAUAAUCCAUACUGACACUCGAAGGGUACUUGAUAUGACUAUUGUUUUGAUUUUCAAAUGAUAAUUCAUUUUGAUUAUUCUAUUGAGUCUCAGAUAUGACUUAGUUUGCAUAUGGUUGCUCACUACUCUGCUCAUGCAUGCCGUAAUGUAUCUUUCACCGAGUCCCGGGCCGGGUAUGUUUUCGUGCACAGUUUCACUGCAUUGUUCACCGAGUCCCUCACUAGAGGGUCGGGUACGGUAUAUAUAUAUAUGAUGAUAUGAUGAUGGCACCGAGACCCUUGAUGGGCCGAGCAUGGUAUACAUGUAUAUGACUUUAUUCACCGAGUCCAUAAUGGGCCGGAUAUGGUAGAUGAUAUAGCUAUGCAUGAUUUUCAUUUCACAAGGCACAGGUACAGUGAUUUCUUAUUGUCAUACUUGUCUCCGGAAAUCUCUAUUUCAGUCAUGAACCUCUUUAUUGCAUUUCAUGCUUUAUAUGCUCAGUAGAUAUCUCGUACUGAGCCCUUUCCUUCGGGGGGCUGCGUUUCAUGCCCGCAGGUACAAACACUCAGUCCGGUGAUCCUCCAGCUUAGGACUUCUGCUCAGCUGUUUGGAGAGCUCCAUUGUCCGGAGCCUAGAUAUUUUGGUACAGAUCUUCUGAUAUAGACUUAUAUAUAUUCAGGGGUACGGCGGGGCCCUGUCCCGUCAUAUUUCACCCUUAUAACUCUUAGGUCUGUAGACAUGUGUGGGUUGUAUAUAAGUUUUGGUCAGCCGUGUCUAUAUGGUUUGCUUUGGAUAUCCCUGUGUAUAGUGGCAGCCUUGUCGGCUUGCGUAUCGUGUUAUUGUUAUGCUUUGGAUAUCCCCGUGUAUAGUGGCAGCCUUGUCGGUUUGCAUAUUGUGUUAUUGUAUGCUGUGACUCCUCAGGAGACAGGUUUAUGAUAUGCGGUGUUGCGAACCCUUCGUUUAUUUUUACAA